rnacentral:lncRNA from 1 species
UUUUUUUUUUUCUUUUUUUUUUUUAACUGCUGGUAUGCCAUCUGUGGGUAAUAAAAACUGGAUAAAUGCAGGAUCCCACAUGGAUAAAAGACAUUGUCUGUCGGCAGAGCUGAUGGCAGUGAAUUUUUUCCUGGUGAAUUUUUGCUUCUGCUUCUCAGAUGUAGGGGAUUCCCAUGAAGAAUUUUUCUUCUCUUGCAACAAUUGCUGGCCUCACUGAGUAACAGUGUCUGUACUUUUUUUUCCUUUUGUCAUUUUCCCAUGGGAUGGCAUCCCUUUGAACUUAGAACUUAGGGGAAAAUCCAAAGAAAAUGAAAGAUGCAGAAGAGAGGAAGAAUGCCUGUCUUUCUGUGAGCAAAUGUUUCUAAUUUUCAGCCCAGCUGUGCCAUUCCAGGACUUCUUUUCAGUAUUCAUCACUUGGCCUGGGACAAUCCAGUGGUGCUUUUGGGCAGGUUUAGAAAAAAAGUUGUAUAACUCUUUAUUUUUAAAGGUUAUGAAAGUUUCACGAGGUUUUUGAAACAGUUCCCCCUUUCUAAUGUAAAUUGGCAGGGGAAAUUUAAUUAACAAAUGAAUCUCGUCCUAUCCGCAUCUCUUCAAAAAAGGAAGAAGGGAGUUGAAAAGAAAGCUGACUGUUCUGACUAGGAGGGGAAUUGAGCCCAGCAAGGACCUUGCUCUCUGCAGUUGGGAUUUUGCUAGAACUACACAGACAUUAAACUUGAAAACUCCUGUCCUAGCUGUGAUGGCUGUAAACUAACUUCAGCAAAGGGAAUUCUUUGCCUCCUUCUAUAAGAGACCUCCAGCUGCCCUCACAGGCCAUCACAGGACUAUUUUUAGCAAGCAUUUGCAAGCAGCCUCUUUUCAGAGUCACACGAGAUGCUUUUAUUUUGUGUGUGUUUUAACUUGGCAGUACUGCAGCCAGUUGUAGGUGGCAGAAAGCUGAUGGAAAAUGUUUUCUGGAUGGAAAGUCACGCUGAGGCCAGCCCACUUCCUGCUUCAGGGAGAUGCUGCUGCUCUGCAGCCUGGCCCUAGACAUCAUGGGGAGGCCAACACAUGGGCCAGUAACCUGGGUAUUAGGCAACUAAAAGCACGGCUGGAGAAGGGAUUUUGCCCUAAACCCAUAUGCAAAGCAGCAGCUAGCUGCAGAUGCAGGGGCCAGUGGAGCCCUCAUUAUCAAUUAAGCAAAAAAGGCUGUUGUCUUCCCUGUAACUCCUCGAAGGAGUUCCACAGUCGUACAAUACUUGCCUGAAGGGAUGACAUAAGAGAAGACAGCAUAAAGCAAAGGUCUUGGAGUGGUAAAGGUCAUCGGUGCUGCUUUGUGCUGUUGAAGUACUCCCCUUUUUAUUUAUUUGUUUGUUUGUUUGUUUGUUUGUUUAAAUCAUCACGUUCAAGCAAUUUUUCUAUGCAAUUUUCUGUAUGGUACACAAGACAAAAAGAAGAGAAACAAACAAGCUCAGCUUUUUGGAUAUAGGGUGGGGCCUAUCACAACCCUAGUUUCCUGUGUUGCCUCUCACCCAAGUGUUGCAGUUCUGGGGAGCUCAGACAGGCCCCCAGGGGAUGGAGCAGCUGUACCUAUCCAGGGACAGGGGUUGGCCCUGCUGAAACAGAAGCAAAAUUUCAUGAACCCUGAUGAAAAAGGAGCAAAAAUCCAUGAGCGCUGCAGGCAUCUGUGCCAACCUGAACCUUCUUUUUCUGCUUGUGUAUUCUGGUUUAAUACCUCUGCUAUGUCUGCGUUAAUUUCAGAGAAGUGUUUUCUUGUCAUUUUGAGAGGAGAUUAACAUUCUCUGCAUUUCUAAUUUGGGAUUAUGUUAGCAGUCUCUGCUGCCUGGUCCAGCAGGUACUUCAAUGCCAAAGGACUACCUAAAAGUUACUUUAACAAUGUAAAAACUGUAACCACGGGAGGUGGUUUUGCACUGCAUACCUAAGAGCUACGUUUUACAAAAGCCCCCUCCACUUUAGGUGCCCUGAGCACUCAAUUGGCAAGGCUGUGGUGCUGCAGGGAUGUGAUGUUUGUUUUUAUUCUACCUUGCAGAAAGCAACUGGCAGGGCUCUGAAAAGCAGCCUCAAGUGUCUGAAUACUGAGAAGGGGCUGUAGGGUUUUAAUCUGUUUUAAAAGAACGUGAAGAAUUCUUGCUGCUUCCUCCAGCAAACAUAUUAAAUUGUAAUUUCCUGAUUGCCACACUAAUCAUGACCAUCUAGUGCUGUUGAUUUACCAGAGUUGGUCCCACAACUUCAUCCUUUUUGUGACUGCUGCUGCAGAUACCCAUUAACUGUUUCCUCUCAUUUAAUCGCAAAGACCGUAUGUGGCUCCCAGGAUAUGUAUCAGGAAAUUUAUCAGUUAACAACAUUCAGCAAGAUCUUGGCCCAGGAUGUUAAAACAAAACAAAUCAGUGAAGUAGACCUGGUGUCUGUACUUGUAUGUGCACGUGCAGAUACCCCUUGGAAUAGGACUCUGGUUUGUUGCUUCAAAAGUCGAUGGACUUUGCUAGUGCAAGGGAAGCCAGGGGACACUUGACAUUGUCAUUUUGAUAAUAUUUUGCAGUUAAAAUCCACGUUUCCCAUUUACAGCUGCUACAGAGAUAAGAACCAGGCAGCUCCAAACAAUUAGUCCAAUGGUAAACAAGGAAAACGUAUUUCCCUCCUGCCUUCUAAUAAUAAUAUAAGUAAGUAAUUUGAAAGCUUAAAAAAAACAGCCAAAAGAGAGAAAGGAAGGUUAUGCAAAGUCAAUUUUUGUCAGCCAGGAUGAAGGCAAAAGGUAGUCACAUGUGCCAUGUGGCCUGUAUUCCUACCUUCUCAAAUCUUUUCAUCAGAGGUUAUUUUGGGUUGGUCAUA